GACGAACGCUGGCGGCGUGCUUAACACAUGCAAGUCGAACGGAAAGGCCAGUGCUUGCACUGGUACUCGAGUGGCGAACGGGUGAGUAACACGUGGGUGAUCUGCCUUGCACUCUGGGAUAAGCUUGGGAAACUGGGUCUAAUACCGGAUAUGAACUGCCUUUAGUGUGGUGGUUGGAAAGUUUUUUCGGUGCAAGAUGAGCUCGCGGCCUAUCAGCUUGUUGGUGGGGUAAUGGCCUACCAAGGCGUCGACGGGUAGCCGGCCUGAGAGGGUGUACGGCCACAUUGGGACUGAAAUACCGCCCAGACUCCUACGGGAGGCAGCAGUGGGGAAUAUUGCACAAUGGGCGGAAACCUGAUGCAACGACCCCCGCGUGGGGGAUGACCGCCUUCCGGUUGUAAACUCCUUUCGACAGGGGACGAAACGCAAGUGACGGUACCUGUAUAAGAAACACCGGCUAACUACGUGCCAGCAGCCGCGGUAAUACCUAGGGUGCGAGCGUUGUCCGGAAUUACUGGGCGUAACGCGCGUAGCGGUUUUUUAAGUCUGAUGUGAAAGCCCACGGCUCAACCGUGGAGGGUCAUUGGAAACUGGAAAACUUGAGUGCAGAAGAGGAAAGUGGAAUUCCAUGUGUAGCGGUGAAAUGCGCAGAGAUAUGGAGGAACACCAGUGGCGAAGGCGACUUUCUGGUCUGUAACUGACGCUGAUGUGCGAAAGCGUGGGGAUCAAACAGGAUUAGAUACCCUGGUAGUCCACGCCGUAAACGAUGAGUGCUAAGUGUUAGGGGGUUUCCGCCCCUUAGUGCUGCAGCUAACGCAUUAAGCACUCCGCCUGGGGAGUACGACCGCAAGGUUGAAACUCAAAGGAAUUGACGGGGACCCGCACAAGCGGUGGAGCAUGUGGUUUAAUUCGAAGCAACGCGAAGAACCUUACCAAAUCUUGACAUCCUUUGACAACUCUAGAGAUAGAGCCUUCCCCUUCGGGGGACAAAGUGACAGGUGGUGCAUGGUUGUCGUCAGCUCGUGUCGUGAGAUGUUGGGUUAAGUCCCGCAACGAGCGCAACCCUUAAGCUUAGUUGCCAUCAUUAAGUUGGGCACUCUAAGUUGACUGCCGGUGACAAACCGGAGGAAGGUGGGGAUGACGUCAAAUCAUCAUGCCCCUUAUGUCCAGGGCUUCACACAUGCUACAAUGGUCGGUACAACGCGCAGCGACACUGCGAGGUGGAGCGAAUCGCUGAAAGCCGGCCUUAGUUCGGAUUGGGGUCUGCAACUCGACCCCAUGAAGUCGGAGUCGCUAGUAAUCGCAGAUCAGCAAUGCUGCGGUGAAUACGUUCCCGGGCCU
rnacentral:rRNA from 1 species